AAUGAACGUUGGCGGCGUGGAUUAGGCAUGCAAGUCGAGCGAGAACCCCGCAAGGGGGGACAGCGGCGAAAGGGACAGUAAUGUGUAGAUUAUCUGCCCUCAGGUCCGGGAUAGCUGCGGGAAACUGCAGGUAAUACCGGAUAACAUCUCCGGAUCAAAGGUGUGAUUCCGCCUGAGGAUGAGUCUGCAUCCUAUUAGCUAGUGGGUGGGGUAAUGGCCUACCAAGGCAUUGAUGGGUAGCAGGUGUGAGAGCACGACCUGCGUCAUUGGGACUGAGACACUGACAAGACAACUACGGGUGGCUGCAGUCGAGAAUCUUCGGCAAUGGGAGCAAGGCUGACCGAGCGACGCCGCGUGUAGGAUGAAGGCCGUCGGGUUGUAAACCACUGUCAGAGGGGAAGAAAUGCAGGUGGGUUCUCCCAUCUGUUUGACAUAGCCUCAGAGGAAGGACGGGCUAAGUUCGUG
rnacentral:rRNA from 1 species